ensembl:snoRNA small nucleolar RNA SNORA23
GGUGAAUGGUGUGCACAGUGUUGGUCUGUGUGAUGUGUUGUUGUCUAGCUGUGUUUUGCAGCCGGGCAGCACCGCUCACACUGCACCUACAGCCACAGAAUACAUGGAGAUCAUAGUACUGGCCCGAGACGUCUUUGACAUCUUCUCCUUUGGCCAGCCUCCAAACUCUCCAACAGGC